rnacentral:rRNA from 1 species
UACGGAGGGUGCAAGCGUUAUCCGGAUUCACUGGGUUUAAAGGGUGCGUAGGCGGGUAAGUAAGUCCGUGGUGAAAUCUCUGAGCUUAACUCAGAAACUGCCGUGGAUACUAUUUGCCUUGAAUAUUGUGGAGGUGAGCGGCAUAUGUCAUGUAGCGGUGAAAUGCUUAGAUAUGACAUAGAACACCAAUUGCGAAGGCAGCUCACUACACAGUCAUUGACGCUGAGGCACGAAAGCGUGGGGAUCAAACAGG